UUGUGCCAGCAGCCGCGGUAAUACGAAGGGGGCUAGCGUUGCUCGGAAUCACUGGGCGUAAAGGGCGCGUAGGCGGCCAUUUAAGUCNGGGGGUGAAAGCCUGUGGCUCAACCACAGAAUUGCCUUCGAUACUGGGUGGCUUGAGUCCGGAAGAGGUUGGUGGAACUGCGAGUGUAGAGGUGAAAUUCGUAGAUAUUCGCAAGAACACCGGUGGCGAAGGCGGCCAACUGGUCCGGAACUGACGCUGAGGCGCGAAAGCGUGGGGAGCAAACAGGAU
rnacentral:rRNA from 1 species